rnacentral:rRNA from 1 species
CCUACGGGUGGCAGCAGUGAGGAAUAUUGGUCAAUGGACGAGAGUCUGAACCAGCCAUGUCGCGUGAAGGAUGACUGCCCUAUGGGUUGUAAACUUCUUUUUUAUGGGAAUAAAACAGUGUAUUCAUACCCUCUUGUAUGUACCAUAUUAUUAACGAUCGAUUAACUCCGUGCCAGCAGCCGCGGGAAUACGGAGGUUCCGAGCGUUAUCCGGUUUUUUUGGGUUUAAGGGGAGCGUAGGUGGAUUGUUAAGUCAGUUGUGAAAGUUCGCGGCUCAAGGGUAAAAUUGCAGUUGAAACUGGCAGUCUUGAGUACAGUAGAGGUGGGCGGAAUUCGUGGUGUAGCGGUGAAAUGCAUAGAUAUCACGAAGAACUCCGAUUGCGAAGGCAGCUCACGGGACUGCAACUGACGCUGAUGCUCGAAAGUGUGGGUAUCAAACAGGAUUAGAUACCCCAGUAGUC